GACGAACGCUGGCGGCGUGCUUAACACAUGCAAGUCGAACGGUAAGGCCCUUCGGGGUACACGAGUGGCGAACGGGUGAGUAACACGUGGGUGAUCUGCCCUGCACUUCGGGAUAAGCCUGGGAAACUGGGUCUAAUACCGGAUAGGACCACUGCCUGCAUGGGUGGUGGUGGAAAGUUUUUGCGGUGUGGGAUGGGCCCGCGGCCUAUCAGCUUGUUGGUGGGGUGAUGGCCUACCAAGGCGACGACGGGUAGCCGGCCUGGGAGGGUGACCGGCCACACGGGGGCUGAGAUACGGCCCAGACUCCUACGGGAGGCAGCAGUGGGGAAUAUUGCACAAUGGGCGCAAGCCUGAUGCAGCGACGCCGCGUGAGGGAUGACGGCCUUCGGGUUGUAAACCUCUUUCAGCACCGACGAAGCGCAAGUGACGGUAGGUGCAGAAGAAGGACCGGCCAACUACGUGCCAGCCGCCGCCGUAA
rnacentral:rRNA from 1 species